GCAUGGAAUAUUUUUCCAUUUGUUUGUAUCCUCUCUUAUUUCCUUGAGCAGUGGUUUGUAGUUCUCCUUGAAGAGAUCCUUCACAUCCCUUGUGGGUUGUAUUCCUAGGUAUUUUAUUCCCUUUCUAGCAAUUGUGAAAGGGAGUUCACUCACGAUUUGAUUUUCUGUUUGUCUAUUAUUGGUUUAUAGGAAUGCUUGUGAUUUUUCCUAUGUGAUUUUAUUUC